GCCGAAGUGGCGGAAUGGUAGACGCAACGGACUUAAAAUCCGUCGGUGAGCGAUCACCGUGGGGGUUCGAGUCCCCCCUUCGGCA
rnacentral:tRNA from 1 species